UGACAUCGGAGACUGCGCCCGCAACUUUCGUGUGCGCUAGAAAGUUUGCAGAAGUCCCACCGGCGUCAAGUUUGAAGCGUUGUGUUGAAACGCGCGCUUGCGAUAAUUUGAUGUGUUCGUGUGCUUUCGAAAAGAAGGUUAUUCCCAUCUUUAGCUUAAAGUGAUGAGGUAUUCUGUGGAUCUUCUUACAGCGAAAAGUAAAUAUUUGAGACAUAAGGAAACUUAUCAAGCAUGAAUCUUGAGCUAAAGUUCCGGAUAUUUGGAAAGAUCUGCUACCCACUCGCUAACCGAUUUUUGCUUUAUGGGACGAAUGGAUAAGACAUGAGAUAUGUCAGAUCUGCAACGAUUUGCUGGCUGCUCGAGGAGUCAAGCAUGGGUUAUUUUUUUCGCUACUAUCUGUACUGUUAUAAUCCAGAGCAGCAGCGCAACAACUACAGAACAUUCCGACAGUGGCACACACAACUCACCAGGCAUGCUUAUGGAAGGAUGCCCUCAGUGGGAGAAAAGCCCUUGGUGUCCAUGCUACGAAUUCGAAGACGGUCUUUUCUUAGAAUGCCCACAUACCGGACUGGAAGAAAUACGAGCAACACUGGCCCUAAUCACAGCUCCUAUAAAAUCAUUAAGCAUCUAUCACCUCGAUCCAAAUGUAACAGUUUUUCCAGAUGGAUUAUUCGAAAAUUCAACUGUUUAUCACCUUCAAAUCUCUCAUACAGAAAUCCAAACGAUACAAGAACGUGCAUUUGAGGGACUGGAACUUACACUUGACAGUUUGUCUAUGGUGAACAGCAAGCUAAAAGAGAUUCCGCAAGGUUCUCUUAAUAAACUUGUGACACUGAGGACGUUAGAUUUUGAUUCAAAUGUUAUAUCAUCAGUUGAAAGUUACGCUUUAUAUGGACUACUCAUUACCAGUUUAAAUCUGCAAAAUAAUCAGAUUGAGCUUCUUACAGAAUAUGCUUUCGGUGGUUUAGAAAAUACUCUAGAGGAACUAAUCCUGAUCAACAACAAAUUGAAGCAGUUCCCUUUAAAUGCAUUAAGGCGACUAAGAAAUUUAAAAACCUUGCGUCUUGUGUGGAAUGAAAUCGAAGAUAUACCUGAUGAUGGAUUUACUAGAUUUACUGCCUUACAAAGAGUAGAUCUAAGCUCUAACAAGAUCAAAUGUCUUGAUGAAAGGAGUUUCGUUACUAUGCCUAGAUUGACAUCACUAUCUCUAUACAUGAAUCGUUUAACUUCCUUAAAUGAUACGGUAUUUUUAUACCUGAGAGAACUCGAAUCGUUAGAUGUCAGCCAUAAUAGUUUAACGUCUUUAGCAGGAAAGGCAUUCAGUCAUUUGAAGAAGCUUCGUACGAUUGACCUAAGUUUUAAUCAUCUGCAUUCCAUCAGUUCUGGAGCUUUUCAUAACUUGACACACCUCCGAGAAAUCUUUUUAACAAAUAAUAUUAUUAAAAAGAUAGCAAAUGAUACGUUUUACAAUACUACUCAAAUCUCUGUUCUUUUUAUUCCAAAUAAUGCAAUCACCCACAUAGAAUGUGGUGCUUUUUAUCAUUUGCAUCAUUUAUAUCAACUACAACUUUCGUUUAAUCAAUUAAAAGAUGUUCAUCAUUCCAUGUUUAAAAAUAAUCGUGAUCUUCGCUCAUUAUCUCUGGAUAAUAACCUCAUAACCGAGCUUCAACCUGGUACAUUUCAAGAACUUGUCGAAUUAAGAGAUCUCCGACUUCAGAAUAAUCUGUUAAAAGUUAUCAAGAAGGGAGUGUUUUACUCUCUGCCUAAUCUUCAAGAACUUCAUUUACAGUUUAACCGGAUUGAAGUGAUUGAAGCGGAAGCUUUACAGUCUCUAGCCAACCUACAGCAUUUGAAUAUUCAGGGGAACAAGAUGUUGGAAGUCGAUGACAUCCUAAGCCGUUACCCGUCCAGUUUACGAUCCCUUCAAUUAACGCACAACGAAAUCGUGUCCAUGAAUGCCAACAGUCUCCUGGGGCAAAAUAAGCUGGAAAUCCUGUGGCUUAAUUUUAACAAGAUUAAACGACUACGCCCUGAGGUGUUUCGAGAUCUGGUAGAAGUUCAGAAGCUCUAUCUUGAUCAUAAUUCUAUAUCAGCGAUUGAAAGCGGUACAUUUUCAGGAAUGCGGCAGUUAAUGUAUUUAAAUCUCGAGUAUAACAACUUAAACCAUUUGAAUGUUGAUAUGUUCCAAGGAGCAGAUCAACUGGAAGAACUUUACAUCUCACAUAACAGAAUUAUGGACAUAGAACCUCAAACUUUUCAGACAUUGCAGAACUUAAAAAUUCUUCACAUGUCACAUAAUCAAAUAUAUGUAAUUCGAAAAUACAUGUUCGAAGGAAACUUGCCAUUGAAAGAGUUAGUUCUAUCUAAUAUAAUGGCAGAAGAAGUAGAAGCAGGAUCUUUCUUAGAACUAUCUUCUCUGGAAACACUGGAUAUGAGUGAAAAUAAGUUGAAUAAUGUUAGAGUCGACUUUUUGUUCCUUCCUUCGUUAAAACAUUUAUAUCUUUCUGGAAACAAUCUAACUGGCGCUAGUGAAAAUUUAUUUUACGGACUAUCUGGACUUAUCACUCUUAACAUUGAAAACACAGGACUGAACUUCGUGACAGGUCGUAUGUUUGAACAAAUGACAGAACUAAAGAUCUUGCGCUUAAUCGGAAAUGGAAUUAAAAACUUGGAGUCCCGUCAUUUUUCAAGUCUUGGUUUCUUAAAAGAAUUGUAUCUCGAUGAAAAUGAACUCGAAAGUAUACCAACAAUUGCUAUUGAAAAUCUUCACAACAUGGAGAUAUUUUCUUUAUCCAAAAAUUUGAUUUCAUCUGUUCAGCACCUUGCUUUCAAAGGCAACAGAAAUUUAAAAAAGAUUAUUCUAAGUAGCAACAGUAUAGUAAAUAUAGAGCAAGAUGCUUUUCUAAAUCUCACUAAACUCAAAGAAUUAGACUUAUCCAAUAACACAUUAAAAUCCUUCUUAAGUGGCGUUUACGAUCCUUUAAAAAAUCUAGAUAAACUCAUUCUAGAUGGUAAUGCCUUUUUCUACCUUCCGAAUACACUCCUAAAUGCUCCUCUACGUAAUAUCAGGAUUUUAUCAGUUAAUCGUAACCCAAUGGUAAGAAUAAGAGAAGAUUUAAGCACAACAGGAAAUUUCAAAUCGUUGGAAACGUUGAGAAUCAAUAGAGGCAAUAUUACAGUUAUUGCAUCGCAUGAUUUUCUUGGCUUCAGAAAUAUUAUUCAUUUGUCAUUACGUCAUAACAAAAUUGUAAAAAUCUCACCUGGAGCAUUCAAACCUUUAACUAAAUUGGCCGUUUUGGAUUUAGGUUAUAAUAAUAUUGACAUAUUGCCAGAAGAGAGGUUAUACGGAUUGAAGAAGCUGAAAACACUAAAUCUCACUUCGAAUAGGAUAUUAGAACUUCCAGUUUUCAGUGAAGAUAUUGAGCAAGUAGAGAAUUUGGAUGUCUCAGGGAAUCAAUUACAGAAACUUGAAGGGGUUACCUUUCGCCAUCUUUACAACCUAAAAACUUUGUGGAUACAAAACAAUCAGAUAAGCUGGAUACAGCCCGGAGCCUUUGUAGAUCUCAGUUCUUUAUCUGAGCUGAAUUUAGAAGGCAAUCAACUGACCCAGUUGAAUGGAAAUAUGCUUAUGCCUGUUGAAAUCAGAGUAUCAAAGCUCCUGCUCUCUGGAAAUCCAUUUCAAUGUGACUGUCGUCUUCUUAGCUUCUGGGAAUGGAUACAAGAACAUACUAGAUUGAUACAAAAUCCGGAUGGAAAUGGAAAGGACCUUACCUGUGCCAUGCCUGAGAGACUUCGGGAUCACUCAAUUUUAAGCCUUCACCCUGUUGACAUCUGCCCAGCACCUUUCAUAGCAGACCUAGAAGCUAUCCAUUUGGAUCAUGAAUCAUUAAUCAUCAAAUGGAAUGUGCAAAAUGGGACACUCAUUGAUGACUUUCUUGUGACAUAUCAUCUUACUUCAUCUCGGGGCAGUGGUGUGAAAUCCAGUGAACCACUUCCAUCGACUCAGCGACGUUUCCAGUUGGACUCUUUGAAAUCGGAAACGUGGUAUACUGUUUGUGUAACGGCAGCUGGUAAAUAUCUAAGGACCUUAGGUAAACCUAUCCCAUACGUAACGAUCGAAGGAAAAUCACAGCCUGCAGUACCGGACAAUAGAAAUCAUAAGUGCCUGCAGAUAAAGACAUUAGCCAAGUUGCAAAAAACUAAGAUGACCUUAUCAACCUUAGGGAUCAUCCUAGGGAGCAGCAUCAGUGCUGCGCUUGUGCUCACAUUGUCUGUGCUCCUAACUGCCAUCAAGUUUAGAAGACGUCGUAGAAGAAGACCGGUGAAGAAUGAUGUUCCACAGGAAUACAUCUCUUACAGACAUUUCUCCCUCCAGUCUUCAGAAGAACCCCCAAGAAUUAUUAACCACUGUUUGGAGCACGCUUCGUGAUUUGGAAGAUUGGUUACAUUUUCACAUCUGGUGAGUUAAAUAUGUUGCAAGUGACAUUCAAUCCUUCUGGAUAGAUGUAUGGCUUGGGGCCGGAUGACCAUGCGUAGAAGCACAUUCUUCUCAACAUUUUGAUUUUCGACGACUUGAGUCCUGUUCUGUGUUAACAUAAAGUGGAAUGAGAAUAUAAAAGCAGAAGUACAUUAAAGAAUACUUAUAAACAUUAUUAACAUGACACGUUAUAUGUGUGAAGACAGCGAUGGGGUUAUGGAUGACAAAUAGCCAUCCAAUACGUGCAUUCACUCAGUGGAAACUGAUUUCUUGCUCAAACUGUGAAAAAUGCGAGAGCGUAUGUUGAAUAAUAUUCCAUAGUUCUGAAUGAUAACUACUCGGAAAAGGUAAAACCUUGAAGGCAAGUACGCUUAGGACAUUUACGAAACGUAAGAUAAAAAUGAAAUGUUGCUGUGAGUUUUUGCGAUUGAACAGAUUUUAAUGUUUGGUUGAUGUAAUCACUCUGUGCAUCUGUUUCUUGUUUUUGUACAAAUGCAUAAUAUGGUAAAUAAAAUACUGUUUUGGUGGUUA